AAGUGAACAAACUCGGUUGGACAUGUUUCUAAGCAGAUUCUACGGGAUUGAUUUUUGAGUUUGAUUCAUGAGCAAAGGCUACGACAGAGAAGCAAAGAAAAUCAUUGCACAUUUGUGAAUCAAAUUUCAUCUUUCCAUAGAUCCUAGACAUCUGUUAGUUCCUUUUUCCUUGUGAUUCUAAGGGAGUACGAUACAAUAUUUCUCAAGAAUAUCAUAAGAAUUUUUCCCUACUUUGAUCCUGCGUUACGUGUUCUUCGCAAAAGAUGUAUGCUAAAGGGAUUGUCAAGAGAAUUGGUCCAGGUAUAGAUAAUCAGAUUGACGAACCCUCAUAAUAGACGAGGUCUACGUUCAGCAAAGGAUCGGUAAGACUCCACCUCAUUCGGAGUGCAGCCGAGUCUAUGAGUCAUCGUGUUAAAGUUUUUAUAUAGACUUAUGGGUAGGCCGGUACCCUAUCCAAUUUGAUGUUGAAUAAUCCUAGAGGCUUUGUAGACAAAUGUUCAUUUUGUACAGUAUGUGAGAGGCCUUGCCGGCCCAUAGUUAUUCAUGUCUUAAGAAAAAUGGUUUAGUGAAAUAGUGUUUUUCAGUUACAGUUGUACAUUCCGAGUUGCGGCCAUGUUGGACCAUGAUAGUUACAAAAGGAAGGAACAAGUUACAGAGUGGUUCGCUUGGGCCACUACAGUAUUGGGUGCCAGCCACGCCUCCCCAGGUUCGGGGCGUGAUAGUUUCUACCCUAUCUCACAAUAUGUAUCCCAUGACCAUCUUUCAACCCAUUACCAAGCCUAUCUAACAGUCAUUUCAAUAGAAGUAGAACCACGGUCCUUCUCAUAAGCUUCACAAGAUGCUAGGUGGGUUGAAGCUAUGCAAAAUAAGAUCAAGUCCUUAGAUGAUUACAACACUUGGGAAGUAGUAGACUUGCCCUGUGGUAAAAAGGCCAUUGGGU